GCUUGGGUGGCUCAGUUGGCUGGGCAUCUGACUUCGGCUCAGGUCAUGAUCUCAUGGUUCGUGGGUUGGAGUCCUGCCUUGGGCU
rnacentral:tRNA from 1 species